CGAAAGCAUUGGUGAGAAUCCAAUGCCCCGAAAACCCAAGGUUUCCUCCGCAAGGUUCGUCCACGGAGGGUGAGUCAGGGCCUAAGAUCAGGCCGAAAGGCGUAGUCGAUGGACAACAGGUCAAUAUUCCUGUACUACCCCUUGUUGGUACGGAGGGACGGAGGAGGCUAGGUUAGCCGAAAGAUGGUUAUAGGUUUAAGUACACAAGGUGACCCUGCUUUUUCAGGGUAAGAAGGGGUAGAGAAAAUGCCUCGAGCCGAGGUCCGAGUACCAAGCGCUGCAGCGCUGAAGUAUGAGCCCCGUGGACUAGCGAUUGCUUCUCCACGAGGCUCAUACCAGGCGCUACGGCGCUGAAGUAUGUAACUGAUGCCAUACUCCCAGGAAAAGCUCGAACGACCUU
rnacentral:ncRNA from 1 species